rnacentral:lncRNA from 1 species
CCCUAACCCGUAAUGUUCCUUCCUCAGUGACUCGAUCUCAUUACUGAAAAACAAACAGACCUCACUGAUCCGUUUUCCCUUCUCGUAACUCUUGUUUUCUCCAUCUCUCUUCUUUUGCCUCCAAGCCUACUAAAGAGGGAGAAGAGAUUUAUAAGUUUUUCUGAGAAUUCAUUUCUUUGUUAACUGUCAUGACUAAUACUCUCGCUCACAGUGCAAGUGCUCCACCACAAUUAUACUUCGAUGAGAAGUGGAAGCUGACCAAGAAAGAGGGGUCAUCAAGAAGCAGAUCCUCAACUUCUUCUCUAAUGAAGAAUUCAUCUCAAAGGAGGUGUUCUUUUACAAGAAAAUGUGCAAGGCUUGUUAAAGAACAGAGAGCUAGGUUCUACAUCAUGAGGAGGUGCGUCACAAUGCUUAUUUGCUGGAGAGACUACAACGAUGCUUAAAAAAAAUUGGAAGAGAAAGAAAGAAAAGGCAAGAGGGAUCUAGUAAGAGAAAUUUUGGCCAAAGUUUCUAUCUUUUUUUAGCCUCUUUAAGAGAUUUAUCUCUCUCUCAAUGAGAUGGUGUCUUGGGCUUCGCUUCAAAAGGACCCACUGUCAAGGCAUUUUCUGGGCAUCCAGGAUGAAGAGGAAGAGGAAGAGGAAGAGGAAGAUAUAUAUAUAUAUAUAUACAUGUAUAUAAAUUAAGAUUUUUUAGUCGUUUUCUUUUCUAAAUUUUGCCUUUUGGGUUAGAUUUUUUUGGGCUCCGGGAACUCUUCAGAAGGAGAUGGGUUCUUAAUGUUACUGUCACUUUCAGAAUCAGAGAUUAAUAUGACAGAGAGAUCGUUCAAACAUAGUUCUCGCUAUUAUGCUUCUAUGUUCACUACAAUCCAUUUUUGUCCUUGUUUCUCCGUUUCGUUUCUGGGUUUUCUUUGUCUCAAUGAUUGAAGUGACGGGUGUGAUCUCACAUCACUCUAGUUUCUUCUAUCUCUGGACUUUGUGAGAGAGUCAGAGAGAUUCCAUUCAACCAUUGCAGCUACUACAGGUGCGUCUGGGUGGGUCUGGUAUGAUUGGCUGCAUUAGUUAUUAUUUUUAUUUCAUUUUUUGAAUUUUUAAUACUAUCAUGGAUGUUGAUAAUUAAUAAAAUAAUGAUAGUCAUCUCAGUAUGAAGAUGGAUCAACGUGGGAGAGAGAGAGAGUCUCUUUAUUAGGGUCCUUCCCCAAAGGAGUGCAAAAGAGAUGCCCUUUUCUUCAAUUAUUUUUGCAUAUUAACUGCUGAGUCUAUGACAGCCAUUAAAGCUUGAUUUUGAAGAAAAUAUCAUACUUGCUACUUCCUUCUACUGUAUGUAUAUUUACCACAACUUAAUUACCCUUUUAUCAUUUUCAACUGAUAGGGCUCAUAAUCAGAUUUAGGGAAGUUGAUGAGCACGAAUUACAGUGCCGUGUUCAAUGUUCGAAAUCACUGUAAUAUCCUGCAAUCUUUAACCAUUGACC